GCAUAGUACAAUUGAAGGUUUGGAAAGAUUUAAUGGCCUCCUGCCCUGCAACGCUUGCAGUUCAUUCGUGCACGUACGAGCGCGUUAGUUACCAAAAAAUGAUAAACAAACAGUGUUAAUGAAAAUAGCUUCAAUCUUCUUGUAUGCCCAUGUCAACUAUGUAGCAGGACUUUUCGACGGUUUGCUUCUUCAAAACAGGAGUGUGCAGCCUUCACAACCCACACAGGCAGGGUCCUGUGUAUCAUAAGAUCUAUAUUACUCGCAGCAACAAAGCUGCACAGCGGCGAUUACGCCGUUUUGAACAGAUUCAAAUGCUCGCAUCACAAACGGCUGUCGGAACUAGCGGGAAACCAGCGACCGCGGGCCAAAUCUCCUUUGAAAGCUUCACAAAACUAGUGGAAACACUGGCGAGGACUCCGCAAAAGAAUGGAAAAAAGGUGAAAUUCGUUUUCCGGUCGGUUUCAAGGGCGCUGCAGGGCUUCGAAAUGUAGGAUUCCGGCGGGACAGCCAGGGACCAGGGUUUAUUGCGCUAUCAUCUUCCCUGCAACAUCACCAUAGCAUUCACAAAUCCUUGCUUAAACAAACCAAAAAAAUCCCAUCAGCCUCUGGAAGAGUGUUUGAAUACUGUUUCAGUGGAUCCGAACAGAUCACCCGUAGUGCACCCAUAUACUUGCUCUCGUACGCACUCUUUCUUGUCAGUCAGUAUGUAUGUAGGACGUCAGUGUGCGCUAGUGCGUUACCUUGGGUAAGGGCUGCCCGACAAAACCCAAUCCAACUCUCCUAGUUUAGUUUGAAUUCCCAUUCCAAAGCCGCUGGCCUAUGUUCCGAAACACCGCGCUCUAGGACGAGUGCCCCACAAGUCCAACCCCCCUGUCCCGACCAUCCGAUCAUCCGUCUUAAUCCGUGUGUGUGUGUGUUUUGUCCGUGCGUAUGUCCGCGGCCUUCAGAUCAAGGUUCUCCGGCGCUUUGUCGAGCAGCACGUACCUCGUCGCGAUGGCAACGACUUGUUCCACUUUUACCGCUUGUUGCUACCGGUG
rnacentral:lncRNA from 1 species